GCAUAAUUGUUUACGCUUCUCUGUGGUCCAUUUGUGCUUGUGCUUCUAUUUUUAUAUUUUUGCUUAGGUAUAAACUAGAAUCAUGCCUUCAACUUUGAGGUGGAAGUAAUUGCAGCCCUUGAGUUUUGAAUUAUUUAAUUACUGCCAUAAAUAUCUAUCAGGGAUUCAGAUUAGAGUAUGUUUUUAAAACGAACAUGUAGUUAAAAUGUUGUGGGAUGUUAUGGAUUAUCUAAGCUUUAAUGGCAUAAAAACUUAAGAAGAUCAUUCCUUAAAGGGGCAGAAACUUUUCCCAUAUAUUUUAUUAAAGAAAUCUCCCCAUUGAUAUAGCAACCAUGGAUAAAAAAAUGCACCUAAAUUUGUUAGAGCAACCCUUUUUUUUUGUUUUUGUUUGGGUAGAAGAAUUUUUAUUAUUGAAUGAAAGAAACAAAUACAAAAGAUUGGAGGAUAAGAAAUCCUCAAUAAUACAAAAUCCUUCUUGAGAAAUAAGUUUCCAAGGACUUGUAUGUGAGCCACAUUCACUGUUGCAUCGACAUCCCAACCAUUCAGAUGAAGACCAUACUUAACUCAAAUUCCUGUAUGAUGUAAAACAUUUCUUGAUGUUAGAACAAGCUCCACAUUGAACAAAUGUGUGGACAAUUUAUGAAAGCGUGAAUAUUGUAGGUUCUGAUGAAAAAUUGGCUGGUCCCUUAACCGCACUUGAAAUGAAGGUGAGGAGGAGUCAAAACCUCACUUUCUCUCUCAGCUUUAUUAGAUUCAAAAUGUUACAUAUAUAUAGGAUACAAAAAAAAAAA